rnacentral:lncRNA from 1 species
GAAAACCAUUCACGCAGAGAGCAAAGCCUUUCACUAAGAAGGAGGCAGACUCCAAAGGAAGAAGGGAAACUCCAGGCUCACUUGAAAGCUCCCAAGCUAUGUUUCCCGUGUAACCCCCCACCACCGCUUGGCUUUGAUCUCCUGACGGAGGGCUGCCUUAUAUAGACACCCCUGGCACCCCUCCAGAAGGGAAACUGCCCUUCAUUUCCGCAGUCUGGAGUUCACGUCUAUCUGGGACUCACAAAACCCAGCAGGUUAUUCAAAAUAAAACAUCUCGCAGCUUGCCCCGCAAGUGAGGAAGAUCCCCCGGCAAAGUCUCGGCCUCUUAAACUCCUUGAGCGUCCGCAUAGCUUACGUGAGCUAGCCGGGCUUGCAGACCUUCGAGAUCACGAUCGCUAGUCUCUUAUUCUGGGUACUAGUCUACUACACAUGCCAGCUUCAUGAUGUUGUGCACAGCGCAGGAAAUAAAUUCCUCGGUAGGAAAUUGAUUUAUAACGCCGGAGUCGCGGGGACCUGGCGCUGUCAACCUAAAUGACCUCACGUUUGUUUUUCUCCAGUUUCUCCUUCAGUCUCUCCCUCGUGCCUCGUACGGCGCAUGGAACGGGGCUCCACCUGUGCUCAGUUUCCCAGAAGAGCCGCCGAAUUUUGUGAAGAGAUGAAAUCUCCUUUACCACCUGAGUUCUCGCUGUGGGCGUGACAUCGUAUUAGGCGGGGAGUCGUCUCAGGAUUUGAAGAGGCUCAGAAAAGACUCCUCCAAUAUCGUGUCCCCUAACUUCUCUGUGCCUCAGGUACCUCAUCUGUAAAAAUGGGGAUUAAAAGCUGUGAGCCCCACGUGGGACAAUCCGAUUACCCUGUAUCUACCCUAGCGCUUAGAACAGUGCUCUGCACAUAGUAAGCGCUUAACAAAUACCAUAAUUAUCAUUAUUAUUUUUAUUCUAGACUGUAAGGUCCUGGUGGUCAGGG